AGCAUAUUAUAUAUGGUGUGAAAAUGAGGCCAUAUUUGCUUUUCCUUCUCUUAUCAUUAUGCUCUCACCUCCUUCCAACCUCAUUUCCCCAUCCAACUCUCUCUCACCCUCUAACCCUACAACAACUUCAAGGGGUCGAAGGGGCUGCGAAUAGUGAUGCGAUUACCGGAGAAAACGAACUCAAAGCAGGGAAAGGUCCAUAUGGUGGUGCGAAUAUGAAUCGUGAUCCACGCGCUUCGAAAACCAACGCACCAUCGCAACUUCUUCCAUGCUUGUUUUCUCUCGGUUUUGGUUUCUCUUUGUUUCUGUUUUUCGGUUUCUAAGAUUUCGACAUCCGAUUGGUGUAUGGUGUCGAAGAGAUAUCUUUAUUGGGCAUGUUUAUUUCUCUAAAAGUUGCAACCCACGUAAGUGGUGGUUUGUUUGGUUUUCCAUUAAGUUCUGUAUGAAUAAAGUUGUUUGUGUGUA